rnacentral:rRNA from 1 species
UACGGGGGGGGGUAAGCGUUGUUCGGAAUUACUGGGCGUAAAGGGCUCGUAGGCGGCCAACUAAGUCAUACGUGAAAUCCCUCAGCUUAACUGGGGAACUGCGUGUGAUACUGGAUGGCUUGGAUUUGGGAGAGGGAUGCGGAAUUCCAGGUGUAGCGGUGAAAUGCGUAGAUAUCUGGAGGAACACCGGUGGCGAAGGCGGCAUCCUGGACCAAUAUUGACGCUGGGGAGCGAAAGCGUGGGGAGCGAACAGG